rnacentral:tRNA from 1 species
UCCGCCGUGGUGUAAUAGGCAGCACUUCUGAUUUUGGUUCAGACAGUUCAGGUUCGAGUCCUGGCGGCGGAGC